AAGAAUACCACAGAAGAUGUUUCUUUUUUGAUAAAAUUUAAAAAAUGUAUUGUUUUAAAAUUUCGAUAAGAUAUUCAUAUCUGACGUGUUACAAAAUAAGAUUAACUAACAGUUUUUCGUGACAGAAAGUGUAUUUAAUAUAUGACAAAGCAGAUGUAAAAACAACAAUAUAAUUCGAAGAAUCUACUAGUAUCUGUACAUAUAUAAAUUCAAACUGGAUGUAGGAGGACGCGUAUAAAUACAAGCCAAUUAUAAGAAUGCUGAAAUUAAUGUUUACACUUCAGAGAUUUGAUGAUUAUCAGUUAUUUUUAAUAAUAACAGAAAAAGAUCGAAAACUGAAAUAUUGUAAAAUGUACGUACAUAUCUUAAUUUGAACUGUUAUCGCCAACUAAUAUAAUAGAGAAUUGUAUUUUGCUGUUUCCUCCUGUACGUUCUCAUCUUUUCUCUAAUCGACAAGCAAUCCAUUAUUUAUUGUGCUAAUGUCUACAUACUCAUUCACGUAGAAAUAUUUUUUUUUCUGUCCCUUGAUAUAAAUUGACAAAGAAGGAAAUUGCAUUACAGUUACAUUACAAUCGCCUUACAUUAUAGCAUAAAAUUGAAAUAAUAUA